CUCCUGCAGUCUGUGCCUUCCACCAUGAUCAUGAGGCUUCCCCAGCCACACAGAACUGCAACACUGAUUUGCAACUUCACUAGAUAGGUUGGAGGAGGGGGGCUUACAGCCUCAAAACAACCCUGCUUUCCCUAUCACGGGGCCAGAGGGAGUGGAGCUGCUUCUGAAUGCUUGCUCUGAAUUCAGCCUUGCUGAGUGCUACUCAAGGUACGGGUGCGGUGGGUGGUGUCCCCAGUUCCUAAUCUGGGGAAUUAUCCCAGUGUACUUUGGGCAGCAAAUUUCUGAUGCAGAAAGAUGGUGUUUGUACUGCAGAGCUGUGGUCUUAACAUUUACACAAAGUCACAAAGUUUGAUCUCAAAGUCGCUAAACCUCUCUGUGCCUCAGUUUCCCCAUAUACACAAAGGAAUAAUAACCGUCACUAUCAGUAGGGUGUUUUAGCAGCAAAUAACAGAAAAUCCAAAUCAAAUUGACCUCAACAAUAAGAACAUUUACUGACUCCCAGAACCAGAACUGCAGUGGUUGGGUAUGGCUUCCUCUCCUGUCAUCUCUUGCCCCCAUCCUGUUUUGUUCUCAUAACAACUAAAUCCUUAGGCUGAUAGGAAAAUGGAAGCAACAAUCUGCAAACUGACAUGGGCCAAGGUUUCAAGGAUUUUAUUUAAGGUAACAUCCUAACAGGAGAUUUUUGAACCACAAAGGUUCCAGCCCUUAAUGGUGAGAUUUAGUGCCUUACAGUCACUGGUAUAUCCUUGGGAUGCUAGAUAUUAUCGUGGCUAGCAUAAGACCAUAGGGUCAACUUUGCUUCCCUUGACAUUCUGGAAUGUGUCCACACCAGGCACAGGAGCCGGAAUGGCUGUGCCUUCUGUGAGGUCACCAAUAUCAUCAGAGGAUGCUCCUUUUAGGGGAUGCAGGUAGCCAAUGAACAGCCAGAGCUGAAGAGGCACCAUGAAGCUGAAAGGUCACCUUGGGUUCCUUUGAAGGGAAGGAUACAGAGUCCAGCCAGUGCUCAUUCCUGUUGGUGGUCUUCUUCCAGAAGCCUAAAGUAGUGGUUCUCAAACUUGAGCACUGGCUUUGAGAGCUUCUCAAGGUACAGAUUGCCAGCCCACACCUCAGGAAUCUCUGAUCCAGCAGUUCUGGAGAAGGUCCUGAUCAUUUACAUUGCUUACAAGUUUCCAGAUGAUGCUGAUGCUGCUGGUCCAGGGACCAGAAUUUGAGAAGCACUGACCAAGAGGAUGAAUGAUGGAGUACGCUUUGCAGCAGAGACCAACAGCAGCCACCCGGACUCAGUUGACUUUCUGCUUACUCUGGCUUAUUUAUUCUCCAUAUGCUCCCCAUCAUCACUGAAGUAUCCUGGAUCAUUCAUUUAUGGAGGGAACCACAUUUUUACCUUAUAGGCUAGAGCUCUCUGUGGGAGAGCGGUGGGGUUUUAUAAUUUAUCAACUAUGAGGAGCUCACUAUUUCAUACCCAUGGCUGUUUAGAAUGCUUAAGAGAACACAGAAGCUCCCUGAGGUGCGGCCCUUUUUUAUGCUGGAUCUCCAACACUGGAAGCAAAAGGAAGUCCCAAACAGAAACUAUAUGCAGUGCUGAAUCUACAGUGGCUCUGAGAACUUUUAACUAAUGGGCACUUGUAAAUCUCACAACAUUUCCUACUGGCGUGAAUGCCCUGGGUAAAAUGCUCAUUAAACUGUCAGCCAGCAGAGAGGUGUCGUUGCUGGAAAGAGAGUCACAGCAUCCAGGGGUGGAAAGAGGCCUCCCUGGGCCACCAGGGCCCUCCUCUCCCCCAUUCACCCACCACCAACCCCAGACUCAAACCCUCCUUUCAAAGCCUUUCAGAGGAUGUUACAACUCUCCUUCACCUCCACCAGGAAAUUAUUCUUUUUCUCCAAUCCAAAUAUAUAUAUAUAUAUUCAUGUUUAAUCACUAUUUCUUUUUGUUGGAGAGGAUAUCUUCUAUGAAAAUUGAGAAUGGCUAGCCACUGUCCAUGGUGGACAGUCUUUCAUGUACUUAGAAUCCCUUAUAAAAUUACUCCUGAGUCCUUAUCUUUUUUAUUUUUGUUUCAUCAUUUU
rnacentral:lncRNA from 1 species